GCUGGCAAACGGGUGAGUGUAAUGUGGGUGUCUGCCUUUUGGUCGGGAUUAACACUAGGAAAGUUGUGCCAUUACCGGAUAAGCCUUCAGUUGGAAAGUUUUAAUGCCGAAAGAUGAGCCCGCACUUGAUUAGCUAGUUGGUGUGGUAAUAGCUUACCAAGGCAACGAUCAAUAGCUGUUCUUAGAGGAAUACCACCCACAUUGGGACUGAGACACGGCCCAAACUCCUACGGGAGGCAGCAGUGGGGAAUCUUGCACAAUGGGGGAAACCCUGAUGCAGCGAUGCCGCGUGAGUGAAGAAGGCCUUUGGGUUGUAAAACUCUUUCGUCGGGGAAGAAAAUGACUGUACCCGAAUAAGAAGGUCCGGCUAACUUCGUGCCAGCAGCCGCGGUAAUACGAAGGGACCUAGCGUAGUUCGGAAUUACUGGGCUUAAAGAGUUCGUAGGUGGUUAAAAAAGUUGAUGGUGAAAUCCCAAGGCUCAACCUUGGAACUGCCAUCAAAACUUUUUAGCUAGAGUAUGAUAGAGGAAAGUGGAAUUUCUAGUGUAGAGGUGAAAUUCGUAGAUAUUAGAAAGAACAUCAAAAGCGAAAGCAACUUUCUGGAUCAUUACUGACACUGAGGAACGAAAGCAUGGGUAGCGAGAGGAUUAGAUACCCUCGUAGUCAUGCGA
rnacentral:rRNA from 1 species